rnacentral:lncRNA from 1 species
GGCGCCUGCAACAACAGCCCCCCCCCUCACCCCAGCCUUGGGCCUCGUAGCUGUGCAGCUACCUAGUUCCACACUACAGAGGCACAGGAGGACAUAAAGACCAUUGUCCUGAGCUGCAGAAGUGAACAACAAAGAGAGGGCCUCUCUCAGCUCCCUGAUGAAAACUGAAGCCCACUGGAAAAGUGAAGAGAAUCUCUGCAAUAAAGGCACACCAGACCACCGUGCUUGAGUAACAGUUCACCAAGCCUGAUUCCAGCCAGCCUCCAGUCAGAAGUCUCCGUUGUGUGGACUUGGAGCUGUUUGCAGGAGACCAGCGUUAGAACCCACGCUGCACACUUGAGGUGGUGGUGAACACCACAGAGGUGCGAAGCCAGGUCCGGCCUAGUGCUGCCCUGGAAACCCAGGCAGCAUCGUUUUCACGGCAGGAGAACAGGUGCACUGAUGAAUUGAGUAUCUACCACUGUCCUGCAGCUCCCGACUGCUGAGUGUGUCACGGUGGCGAGGCUGCCUGCCAGGUGGAAGCACCGAAACACGGCUCCCAGAUGCAAACUGCAGGACUCCGAAGCUCCGGAGAGCCUGGUGCAGUUCCCACACUAAAUGGCCGUAACCAGAGGGUCAGCUCUCAGGGACCUGGCAGUGAGCUUGGGAAAGAGAGGCAUUCGCAAAACCACAACACAUUGACUUUUAAAUGGAAAACUCCAAAUUUAUUCCAAUUUCCAUGCGGGAUCAUCCUGAAAGACAGCGUAGCUGCAAUUUGGGAAAUAUGAUGCCUCAGAGGACCCUGUCCAGCAUAUUGCAGAAUGAAUCCUGAGUGGUUUUGAAUUCGGUCAUCAAGUCCUAAAAAUUCACGGAAUUAAUGGCUCAGCCAAAUCACAGUUCGCAAGCUCAGCGCUCUCUUCCUGCUGAAGCGAGCAGUGUGUGGACACCUCACAAAGGUCCAGGAGAGGCAGCCAGCGCUAACCUCCCGCAAGCAGGUUCUCCAUGGCUGCCUCCUCCUUCCCUCCAUCGCAGAUGGCCCUGACCGUGGUCAGCACGGCUGAACUGGCCUUGGAGAGGGAGUGGGGGCCUCACUGCCAGACCCUGGAGCCAGGGCUCCACGGGAACAACGCAGUGCUGCGUGGCCGGGAAGAUGGCCGAGGUCAGUGGCGACCAAUGACCUCACUGGACCCCGGCUGGCACCUGGCCUCACCUAGCUGCACACAGCCUCCCGGCCACUCUCAAGUGUCUGCCCGCCUCUCUGGACGCAUGCACAAGCUUCCUCCACCCUGAGAGCUGGGAAGGCUCCUGCCUUGGGCUCGUGUCACAGCUCAGAUGUCAGCAGCCCUGGGACUUCAGGGACCCUGAGUCCUCCUGAACCUCCAUUCUCUCCUCUCCACAACAGAGGCCAAGUGCUGCUGCCUUGCUUAGUUUUCGCCAGG